rnacentral:rRNA from 1 species
AGUGAACGCUGGCGGCAGGCCUAACACAUGCAAGUCGAGCGGCAGCGGGUCCCCGCGAGGGAUGCCGGCGAGCGGCGGACGGGUGAGGAACACAUCGGAAUCUGCCUGGUUGUGGGGGAUAACGUAGGGAAACUUACGCUAAUACCGCAUGCGACCCUGAGUCGACGGACUUGGGGUGAAAGUGAGGGACCUUCGGGCCUCACGCGACCAGAUGAGCCGAUGUCGG